CCACCACUAGGACCUGGGCCUGGGGUCACAAAGUUACAAGCUAAAAUACAGGUCAUUGACCUUCUUUAAAAAAAAAAGAAGUGCAUGCUGUUAAAACAAACCUAAAGAUAAUGGAGGUCAUAUGUAUGAGGGUUUGUCAGAUGACAGUCAGCCGUGGUGAUAAAAACUGUUCAUUCGGUAGGACUGUAAAUUUGAACUUUUUAUUUCGAAGCUGAAGUCUGCUCCUCUUCAUCUUCAAGAGACCAGUGCAGUUAGAGCUCGGGAUUGAACCUGUGACCCACCGUCUGUCUCACGUCUGUGCCCGGUUACAGACAAACACACAAGACAUCAUUUGAUCAGAAAUGCGGGCGACGGAGACUUGUGCUGUUGUCCGAUUGGACGCAGGUCCAAGACAGACGCGAAGACAGUCAGGAGCUUCAG